GACGAACGCUGGCGGCGUGCUUAACACAUGCAAGUCGAACGGAAAGGCCCUGCUUUUGUGGGGUGCUCGAGUGGCGAACGGGUGAGUAACACGUGAGUAACCUGCCCUUGACUUUGGGAUAACUUCAGGAAACUGGGGCUAAUACCGGAUAGGAGCUCCUGCUGCAUGGUGGGGGUUGGAAAGUUUCGGCGGUUGGGGAUGGACUCGCGGCUUAUCAGCUUGUUGGUGGGGUAGUGGCUUACCAAGGCUUUGACGGGUAGCCGGCCUGGGAGGGUGACCGGCCACAUGGGGACUGCGAUACGGCCCAGACUGCUACGGGAGGCAGCAGUGGGGAAUAUUACACAAUGGGCGGAAGCCUGAUGCAGCAGCGCCGCGUGCGGGAUGACGGCCUUCGGGUUGUAAACCGCUUUCGCCUGUGACGAAGCGUGAGUGACGGUAAUGGGUAAAGAAGCACCGGCUAACUACGUG
rnacentral:rRNA from 1 species